CAAUAUAAAAUCCAACCUUAGCAUUUAUCACUUUGAACUCACAGCUACCUUUGCAGGUCUUCUCCGUUUCCUCUUAUCAUGGCUCUCUCAGUCAUCUCAGCUAACCUCAUCAUGCCAAAGGCCAACCUUCAACUCCCCAUUUUCAAGCCACAAAAACAUCCAAAAAACGGCAUCAUAAAAUGUUGUAAACCCCCUCCACCGCCGGUGAAGAAAGGCCCCCCCGGACAAACCAACAGUAAGGAGAAGAAGAUGACUACUACACACAGCAGGGGAAUUUCAAACACUCCUGUUGUAGAAGAAACGUACGAGAAAGGCAAACCAAAACGUGAUGACGGUUCUUCAGAGAAAUCUAUGGCUUAAAAUAGUGGCUAAGCUAAUAAACGUGUGUAUGCAAGUUUAGUUUUCUAACUCCAAAUCUAAAAGAGUUUGGAGCUAGUUAAAUUAGACGUUAAUUUUCUCAGCAGUUAAAUCAUGUUUUGUAAGAUCAGAAAUAAAUUAACCAGUUUUUAUAAAUCUAUGAAGUCCUGGUUCAGUUUUACUUUA